rnacentral:lncRNA from 1 species
AUGCUUAGUUUAAAAGGUCUUGAUCAAACUUUGUGUAUUUGGAAUGUGAAGUCCGAGUUUGGAAGUAAAAAAAUGCAGCAGGCCUGCACUUUCGGUUGCUGAAAUUUCCAAAGUUUCGGCAGGCUGCUGAAAAUGUCUUAUUGUUGCAGAAUUGCUUUACAAGCUUUAUAUGAAGAUUGCUUGAGCCAUCCAAUUUGCUGGUUGAUCUUAUGUUGGAAAGAGGUGUUGAGUUUGCAUUUUUUGGGGGCUGAAAUAUUCGAAGCAUGUUCCAAUCCUUUGCUGGAAAAAUGAAUGACCGAAUUGCCGAAUUUUUCUUGUAUAUUUUCCAGAAUUUUUUGCAUGAUCAUUUCCUAAGUCUUCAGUUUGUUUUGAUGGUGGUGAUUAUAUGUUUUGCUUAGCCUGAAGUUGCAGGUUUGGUUUUGAAAAUGUGUAACCCAAGUUGGGAUUAAGAAAUAGGCAUUUGUAAACAUAGAGCUGCAGCAGGUUUCCUUUUGUUUUUUUUUUCCAGAUUGCAGAAAGCUCAUUUUUUCUUCCUAAGUUGUACACUUUGCAUGAAAAAUCUUCCAAGAAACUCUUUGUUUUAGCUAUGUUUAGUUGGAAAUGGUUGAAAGCUCUGCAUGAAUCUUGUUUUUGCCGAAAAUUCCUUGGAGUUGCAAAGACUCCCGAAUGAGUUGCAGCAAAAUUGUUUGGCCGAAAAGUUGCAGCAGCAACAUCGACUAGCAACUUGCAGAAAAUCUUAGUUUCCUCAUGGGCCUUGCAUGAAAGUUUUUCCAGAUUGUGCAUAACCUUCCUCUAAGUUGUUGCAUUCAAGUUGAGUCAUUGAAUUCGGUGGUUUGCUUUGUACAAAUGCAUCUAGGCUAAAUGAAAGAUUGCUGAAAGAAUGAUUGCUGGAAAAUUGCAGAACAUGAGUUUCGUAGGUUUGCAUGGGAUUGCAUGAAAAAUAAUUGUCAGAUUUAGCACCUUGACCCCUCAAGUUUUCCCCU